GACGUAGGGGGCGAGCGUUGUCCGGAUUUAUUGGGCGUAAAGCGCGCGUAGGCGGUCCGGUAAGUCGGAUGUGAAAAUCCGGGGCUCAACCCCGGACCUGCAUUCGAUACUGCCGGGCUGGAGGCAGGUAGGGGAGAGUGGAAUUCCUGGUGUAGCGGUGAAAUGCGCAGAUAUCAGGAGGAACACCGGUGGCGAAGGCGGAUCUCUGGGCCAUUGACUGACGUGGAGGAG
rnacentral:rRNA from 1 species